AGAGCGCACCAGCGGCCGGGUAACCGGCCGGCUCGGUACACCCCACCCGGAGCAAGGUCACAUAGGGGGAGAUGAGGCGGCCCGCCGAUCCCCGGGUAGACUGCUGGAGGUGCCGGGUAACCGGCACCCGAGAGAGAUGGCCGCACUCGACUGAACCCGGCUUACAGGCCUGCUCCCAUG
rnacentral:RNase_P_RNA from 1 species